GGGCUGGUAGCUCAGUUAGGCAGAGCGUCCGGCUUUUAACCGGACGGUCGGGGGUUCGAAUCCCUCCCAGCCCG
rfam:Halococcus saccharolyticus DSM 5350 contig_30, whole genome shotgun sequence.